GACGAAGGGGGGCUAGCGUUGUUCGGAAUUACUGGGCGUAAAGCGAGUGUAGGCGGUUAUCCAAGUCAGGUGUGAAAGCCUUGAGCUCAACUCAAGAAAUGCACUUGAUACUGGGUGACUAGAGGACCGGAGAGGAUAGUGGAAUUCCCAGUGUAGUGGUGAAAUACGUAGAGAUUGGGAAGAACACCAGUGGCGAAGGCGGCUAUCUGGACGGUUACUGACGCUAAGACUCGAAAGCGUGGGGAGCAAACAGG
rnacentral:rRNA from 1 species